rnacentral:rRNA from 1 species
CUUGCCCUACGGGAGGCAGCAGUGAGGAAUAUUGGUCAAUGGGAGAGAUCCUGAACCAGCCAAGCCGCGUGAGGGAAGACGGCCCUAUGGGUUGUAAACCUCUUUUGUCGGAGAACAAAACCCGGGACGUGUCCCGGACUGCGUGUAUCUGAAGAAAAAGCAUCGGCUAACUCCGUGCCAGCAGCCGCGGUAAUACGGAGGAUGCGAGCGUUAUCCGGAGUUAUUGGGUUUAAAGGGUGCGUAGGCGGUCCGUUAAGUCAGCGGGAAAAUUGCGG